GGCCGCCUAGCGUAAUGGUUAACGCGCUAGUUUCCGGAGGCGUUUAGCUAGAGAUUGUGGGUUCGAGUCCCAUGGUGGUCG
rnacentral:tRNA from 1 species